CCCUUGGCACCAAGUUUGCAAUGUAUGCCACCCAGACUGCUCCCCUGUUGAGUGUCGAGCAAGAGGAAAAAAGGAGCAAUAGAGUUUCUGCACUUGUUCAAUCCCAGGUCUCCUGAAUGUUUCAACAGUUUCAGCACUGCUCAGUAAGCACUAGCUGGACCAAAGCAAUACAAAGCCAUUGCAGCAAUCCAAAGCACUGCACUAGCUACCCAGUUUCAGCAAUAUCACAGGGCAGACAUUGAGUGACUAUGAUGAGGGCAAGAUCAAGCCACUAAUCCAUGCAAUAAUUCGAAUUUAUGCAUUGGAGGGUGUCCUGGUUUUCCUUGCUGCCAAGUCUCGAUUUAUCAAGAACACCGGAAAGGCUGCUGAUCUCCAGAACUACUGUAUUGUGCGUUGAGAUGCUCAUAGCAGCCAUUGGGCACCUAUUUGCCUUUCCCUACAAGGAGUAUGCAGGUCCAAAUGCCCGUCCGUCUGGUGGUUUCAGGGAAAGCCUUAUUCAUGCUUCAAAAUUCAACGAUUUCUACCAUGACACAGUUCACCAGUGGUGAUGUCCUAUUAGGUGUCUGGGUGCCGACAUUGGCAGCGACAGACUGCUCCCAUGUUGAGUGUCGAACAAGAGGAGAGAAGGAGCAACAGAGUUUCAUCACUUGUUAAAUCCCAGGUCUCCUAUGAGCUGAACGUUUCAGCAGUUUCAGCACUAGCUCAAGUAUCACACGACAGACAUUGAGUGUCUACGAUGAGGGCAAGAUUAAGUCUCUGAAUCCUCCACAAUAAGGCAGAGCAAUGAACAAAUAAUUAUCAUGGAGCUACCUAAUUGUCACAUGAAAUUUGUGGUAAGAACUCAUUGCAGCAACGAGACACAUGUUUUUCACAUAUUGCUGGAACUCAAAGUGUCAGAUCUGGGAGCCAAUCAAAUUAAAUUUGCCUGAAUGCACUCAGUCAUGAUCGCAUUAUUUAGGACCUACCAGCUCAAGAAUUUGAAAUGGUUCCAGCGGCAGAGCUGACAUCGAUGGACCUCGCCUCCAUGGCUUCUCGUUGAGAAGGAGGCCACCGGGAGCAGCUUGUACAUCCUCCGACGGUGAGCGGAGUGGCGGGAGCAGGUUGCAGGCGCGGCCUCCACGCCGGGAGGAGAAGCUG